GCAGGAACCAGACCUUUGGCGGCGGGGUGCCCUUGUUCUGGACAUGGCUGACGAUCUGCUGUGCCGUCUGGCGCUCGUUGCCCUGCCGCUUGACCCACUCGUGCAGCCGGGCCUUCUCGAGCGCGCCGUUGAAGAAGACGAAGAGCUCGAUGUUGCCGCCGAAGCAGGCCUUGGCCAGCGCCGCCAGAAACCUCUGUAGAGGAGCAGGAUGCAACCGACAGGCUGUGGCCGGACAGCUGCUGCCCAGCACAUGGAGCCUGCACGCGCACGGUUUGGCCAAAGAAGCCCCCAUACUCCCGGUGAAAAAGAUGGAGUCUUGCUCUGUUGCCCAGGCUGGAGUACAAUGAUGUGUUCUCAGCUCACUGCAACCUCCCUCUCCCAGGUUCAAGUGAUCUCCUGCCUCAGCCUCUGGAGUAGCUGGGAUUACAGAUUUCCAGAAGCUGUUCUGUCAAUAACAAAGUCUCAAAGAAAACCACAAAACCACCAACACUAAGAUCAUUCUUGAGUCCAAUUUGAAAAACUAGGGUCAAGUUCUGCAGAGGCAUUGAAAGGACAAGAAACCACCCUGAUACCCAUCGUGUGAGGGAAAAUGCUCUAUUCACCAUUCCUCAGCUUCUGCUUCUGGUUUCAGAGUUCUCUCUAUAUUGGAGGGUGUUUUAAAGCUAGAGUGGUCUUUAUCCACUUUUAUUAACACAUCUGAAUGUGAAGGUCAAGAGAGGAAAGUGAUAUGUCCUAAGUCAGAGUAGAGUCAACAAGAAAAUAAGACAAACAGCGACUGAGCCCCUGGUGUAUACUGGGCAUUGGCCAGCUACUGGGGAUAUGGAGAUGAAGAAAACAUAACCCUUCUUCAAGGAGCCCAACCUACCAAGGUAGACAGACAUAUAGACAAAUAGAUACUUGCAUAGAAAAAAAGAGGAAAAGGGGAUCAGUGUGACCUGUGUAACUAAGUACCCUAUAAACCCUCCUGCAACAGAUCAUAUUGCCCUUUAUAGUGGGGAUGGUAAUCCCAUCUGAAUUCCACAGGUACUUUGCAGUCAUACCACACCCAUGUGUCUGUCGGUCCUGACUGUACCAUUUAUAAACAGCUUCACUUUCAGCAGUUCUCAGCCCUCUUAAGCUAGGGUCAUUGUCAGUAGGGAUACUGCUUCAUAAGCACCAGCAGAACACCAAAGGAGACCAUAUGGGUGAAAGCAACCAGCACUG
rnacentral:lncRNA from 10 species